UUCCCAACUUCCCCCAUAGUCGCCGCACAAGGCAUCCUUUUUGCUCCUUCCCUCUCCUGUUGCGAGAAGCAAGAAGCAAGAUCCCUGCUCACCAAGUAAUCUUAAUUUCUUUUCUUGCUUAGUAAAUAGUUCUGUUGCCGACGAAGAUGCAGCGAGUGUCGACCGUCGAGGCAAGGAGGGGCGACCACCCCUCGCCAGGCAACGAGCGACCGCCUCUUGGUCGAUCGGCUCGCAAGAUGCUGCAAGCGAGGCAGUGAGGCAAUGAGGCAAGGAGCAAGAAGCAAGAUCUCUGCUCGCCUGACCGCCGAGGCAAGGAGGCGUGACCGCUCCUCACUGAGCAACGAGCGACCACCUCGCGGCUGGUCGGCUCACAAGCUGCUGCACGUGAGGUGAUGAGGAAAGGAGCAAGAAGCAAGAUCUCUGCUCGCCAGGUAGCUGUAAUUUUUUUUCUUAUUUAGUAAAUAGUUCUGUUGCUAGCGAAGAUGCAGCAAGCGCCGACCGCCGAGGCAAGGAGGGGCGACCGCUCCUCGCCAAGCAACGAGCCACCACCUCACGAUCAAUCGUCUUGCAAGCUACUACAAACGAGGCAACGAGGAAAGGAUCAAGAAGCAAGAUCUCUCUUCGCCAGUCGAAGAGGUGGCAGGCAACACUGAAGGAUAGUGAAAGAAAGAGCAAGACUAUUAAAUAGGUUUAAGAGCAACUACACAUAUAAUGGGAUGUGCUCUUUGUUGAAUAGGACUGCAUACUUGAUGCUUGUGAAGAUGAGUACAGGGGAAUGAUUGUCAAUCCAGAGACGUUACCAUGAAACACAAAUGUGUUUGCUCAUGCUCUUGAGGCAUUCAUUUCAAGCUGGAACAGAAGGGGAAGAAAGGGAUUUGCCUUAAGGUAUCUUUGGGUCGCUCUGAGUUUGUUCCUAUUGCUAUAAAGGCUUGUCUUACUCGUGCCAAUGGAAGUCCUUCAAGUAAUAUUGUAGCAGAAAGAUUGGUGAUGGGUACUUGGAUUUUUGUGAAGCAAUACGACAGUUGAAGAUGGUCUGCCUAGUUAGUUUUUAGUUUAUAAGACUGUUCUAAAACUUAAUAUUUUGAGUGUAGUGUGUUGUCAAUUUUGGAUGUAAAGAACUUGUCGUUAGUUUGCGUUUGUAAUUUUGACUCAAAUAUUUGUUGGAUGAAUUUAGAUUAUCUAUUUGCACUUUAAA